rnacentral:rRNA from 1 species
UACGUAGGGUGCGAGCGUUUGUCCGGAAUUAUUGGGCGUAAAGGGCUCGUAGGCGGUCUGUUGCGUCAGGAGUGAAAACUCGGGGCUUAACCCCGAGCCUGCUUCUGAUACGGGCAGACUAGAGGUAUGCAGGGGAGAACGGAAUUCCUGGUGUAGCGGUGAAAUGCGCAGAUAUCAGGAGGAACACCGGUGGUCGAAGGCGGUUCUCUGGGCAUUACCUGACGCUGAGGAGCGAAAGUGUGGGGAGCGAACAGG